AGCAGCCGCGGUAAUUCCAGCUCCAAUAGCGUAUAUUAAAGUUGUUGCAGUUAAAAAGCUCGUAGUUGAAUUUCGGGAUCAGUUGAUCGGUCGUGCCUCGGUACGUACUGGUCAAAUUGAUUCCUACCUUCUGACGAACCACGAUGUCAUUAAUUUGGUGUCGUGGGAAAUCAGGACUGUUACUUUGAAAAAUUAGAGUGUUUAAAGCAGGCUCGCGCUUGAAUACAUUAGCAUGGAAUAAUGAAAUAGGACGUUUGAUUCUAUUUUGUUGGUUUCUAGGAUCGACGUAAUGAUUAAUAGGGAUAGUUGGGGGCAUUAGUAUUCAAUUGUCAGAGGUGAAAUUCUUGGAUUUAUUGAAGACUAACUACUGCGAAAGCAUUUGCCAAGGAUGUUUUCAUUAAUCAAGAACGAAAGUUAGGGGAUCGAAGACGAUCAGGUGCCGUCGUAGUCUUAACCAUAAACUAUGCCGACUAGGGAUCGGAUGAUGUUAAUUUUUAAUGUACUCAU
rnacentral:rRNA from 1 species